rnacentral:tRNA from 1 species
GGCUCGAUGGCCGAGCGGUCUAAGGCGCUAGACUCAAGUUCUAGUCUCGAAAGAGGCGCGCGUUCGAAUCGCGCUCGAGUCA